AAACCAGUGUGCACCAUGAGGGGAUCCAGGGAGGUGGGCCUGGCAAAUAGGAAGAAGCAAUUCUUUUCUCAGGGUCAGCUGAGGCAGGAGAAGAAAAGGCUCUGCUACUACCCAGUUAAAGAAAUGUGCAUACAUUAAGUUGUGCAUUUAGCAUCAAAGUGUUAGAUGCCAACAGUCACAGGCAGUAUGUUUAUUCAGUUUCCACUGUCUCAUUGGACCUGUUUGAUGGAAAGAUCCGGCAUUAGACCAACAAUUACUUUAAUGAGGAGAAAUAAUCAAGCUCUCCUAAAGGCUGAAAAAGAAACCCAACCCAGAGUGAGAAGAAUUUUUGCUUCAACUUGAAUCUGAGGAUUUUCAAUUAAAA
rnacentral:lncRNA from 1 species